rnacentral:lncRNA from 1 species
GACUCAAAUUUCCAUAUAGGAGCAAGAGCAAUUUCCACCACAGACGAGUCGGACAUGUGAUGCACCAAAGAGUAAUAACAUUCACUUCCAAUUCGCCGCUGGCGUCGAAUACACAGUGGAGGGAGUGAGAUCGUAUCCUUGCUACGCGGACGGUACAACUCAAAAUCAAUAAAAUUGAUGUUGGAAUCCCGCUCCUCUAUCAUCGGGCUGCACUCAUAUGGGAUAUCUUUUGAAAACACUAUGAUGUUUUCGCCACAUCGAAUUGCAGAAGGAUCAGUU